CACGUAGGGGGCGAGCGUUGUCCGGAUUUAUUGGGCGUAAAGAGCUCGUAGGCGGCUCGGUAAGUCAGGUGUGAAACCUCCAGGCUCAACCUGGAGACGCCACCUGAUACUGCCGUGGCUAGAGUCCGGUAGAGGAGCGUAGAAUUCCUGGUGUAGCGGUGAAAUGUGCAGAUAUCAGGAGGAACACCAAUGGCGAAGGCAGCUCGCUGGGACGUGACUGACGCUGAGACGCGAAAGCGUGGGGAGCAAACAGG
rnacentral:rRNA from 1 species